GAGACACGUAUCGGAUUACUGGGCGUAAGCGCGCGUAGGUGGUUAAUUAAGUCAAAUGUGAAAUCCCCGAGCUUAACUUGGGAAUUGCAUUCGAUACUGGUUAGCUAGAGUAUGGGAGAGGAUGGUAGAAUUCCAGGUGUAGCGGUGAAAUGCGUAGAGAUCUGGAGGAAUACCGAUGGCGAAGGCAGCCAUCUGGCCUAAUACUGACACUGAGGUGCGAAAGCAUGGGGAGCAAACAGGAUUAGAUACCCUGGUAGUCCAUGCCGUAAACGAUGUCUACUAGCCGUUGGGGGAUUUGAUCCUUUAGUGGCGCAGCUAACGCGAUAAGUAGACCGCCUGGGGAGUACGGUCGCAAGACUAAAACUCAAAUGAAUUGACGGGGGCCCGCACAAGCGGUGGAGCAUGUGGUUUAAUUCGAUGCAACGCGAAGAACCUUACCUGGCCUUGACAUAGUAGAGACUUUCCAGAGAUGGAUUGGUGCCUUCGGGAAUCUACAUACAGGUGCUGCAUGGCUGUCGUCAGCUCGUGUCGUGAGAUGUUGGGUUAAGUCCCGCAACGAGCGCAACCCUUUUCCUUACUUGCCAGCAUUUCGGAUGGGAACUUUAAGGAUACUGCCAGUGACAAACUGGAGGAAGGCGGGGACGACGUCAAGUCAUCAUGGCCCUUACGGCCAGGGCUACACACGUGCUACAAUGGUCGGUACAAAGGGUUGCUACCUCGCGAGAGGAUGCUAAUCUCAAAAAGCCGAUCGUAGUCCGGAUCGCAGUCUGCAACUCGACUGCGUGAAGUCGGAAUCGCUAGUAAUCGCGGAUCAGAAUGCCGCGGUGAAUACGUUCCCGGGCCUUGUACACACCGCCCGUCACACCAUGGGAGUUUGUUGCACCAGAAGUAGUAGUCUAACCGCAAGGAGGACGCUUACCACGGUGUGCCGAUGACUGGGGUGAAGUCGUAAGAGGGGGCCCCCCCCUUUAUACC
rnacentral:rRNA from 1 species